rnacentral:rRNA from 2 species
UCUCCCAAAUUGAUUUUAUGCUUGCAUAAAUGAUUUUUGGAUUCGGAGCGAGUGGCGAACUGGUGAGUAACACGUGGGUAACCUGCCCCGAAGCGGGGGAUAACAUUUGGAAACAAGUGCUAAUACCGCAUAAUUAGUUGGAACCGCAUGGUUCCAACUUGAAAGAUGGCUCUGCUAUCACUUUGGGAUGGACCCGCGCCGUAUUAGUUAGUUGGUGAGAUAAAAGCCCACCAAGACGAUGAUACGUAGCCGACCUGAGAGGGUAAUCGGCCACAUUGGGACUGAGACACGGCCCAGACUCCUACGGGAGGCAGCAGUAGGGAAUCUUCCACAAUGGACGAAAGUCUGAUGGAGCAACGCCGCGUGAGUGAUGAAGGUUUUCGGAUCGUAAAACUCUGUUGUUAAAGAAGAACAAGUGUUAGAGUAACUGUUAACACUUUGACGGUAUUUAACCAGAAAGCCACGGCUAACUACGUGCCAGCAGCCGCGGUAAUACGUAGGUGGCAAGCGUUGUCCGGAUUUAUUGGGCGUAAAGCGAGCGCAGGCGGUUUUGUAAGUCUGCUGUGAAAGCCCUCAGCUCAACUGAGGAAGUGCAGUGGAAACUACAAAACUUGAGUACAGAAGAGGAAAGUGGAACUCCAUGUGUAGCGGUGAAAUGCGUAGAUAUAUGGAAGAACACCAGUGGCGAAGGCGGCUUUCUGGUCUGUUACUGACGCUGAGGCUCGAAAGCAUGGGUAGCGAACAGGAUUAGAUACCCUGGUAGUCCAUGCCGUAAACGAUGAAUACUAGGUGUUGGAGGGUUUCCGCCCUUCAGUGCCGCAGCUAACGCAUUAAGUAUUCCGCCUGGGGAGUACGACCGCAAGGUUGAAACUCAAAGGAAUUGACGGGGGCCCGCACAAGUGGUGGAGCAUGUGGUUUAAUUCGAUGCUACGCGAAGAACCUUACCAGCUCUUGACAUCUUCUGCCAACCCAAGAGAUUGGGCGUUCCCUUCGGGGACAGAAUGACAGGUGGUGCAUGGUUGUCGUCAGCUCGUGUCGUGAGAUGUUGGGUUAAGUCCCGCAACGAGCGCAACCCUUAUUAUUAGUUGCCAGCAUUUAGUUGGGCACUCUAGUGAGACUGCCGGUGAUAAACCGGAGGAAGGUGGGGACGACGUCAAAUCAUCAUGCCCCUUAUGAGCUGGGCUACACACGUGCUACAAUGGAUGGUACAACGAGUCGCGAAACCGCGAGGUCAAGCUAUUCUCUUAAAGCCAUUCUCAGUUCGGAUUGCAGGCUGCAACUCGCCUGCAUGAAG